UAGUGCUACAAUUCUUUUAGAAUUUGUCUACCAGGCUUUCCAGUUUUCGCCAAAAGCUCCC
rnacentral:snRNA from 1 species